AAAAGACAGUGCCUGUCUCCAAGGAGCUCCUGAUCUAAGGAGGGACACGACAGACAAACAACUGUAUCAACAGCAUAUACACAGGCUAAGAGAUUACAUUUGGAAUGGAAACUGGAAGUGCUCCAAGGGAAACAAUUCUCAUCAUUCUCCAGCAUUACAUCUCAGUACAUAUCCUUCUGAGAAUAUUCCAAUAGCUCCUAACUCCUUCCAGAGAGCUGAUUGUUAAACAUUUACCAGCACAUCUGUGGAGUUCAUUGGAGUUAAAAAGAUUAAAGAAUGGAGAAUGUGGUUUGUUUCAGGGACCAUCAACAUAAAUAUCAAAGUUCCUGAGGUUGCUGGCCACAAACGGACUGGAGAGGAAGACCACAUGCCAAAUAUUAAAGUUCUUACAGAAAUUGGGAAGGUAACUGGAAAGUCAACAAGAAUAAAGACGAUGUCAACAAGGAUAAAGAAAGGAAUGUUAGAGAUGGACUGCAGUUCUAUAACUUGGUUUAUAGCUGUUGGUAGUUUGAUAUAACACUAAAUCUGUGAAAUGAUUUAGGUAAUAUCAUUUCUAUUCUAUCAGACAGUUGCAACCAUGAACAAUGAAUGUCUCUACAAUUGUCCCCCCAGCCCCCCACUGCUUGUGCCUUCCCUCAGAGAUGACCUCCAAUUUACCUUGUAUCUAUCUUGUAUGUUGUCUCCCCCAUUAGACUGUGAGCUUCUUGAGGGCAGGGACCCUGUUUUUGUCUUUCUUUGGAACCCC